ensembl:lncRNA
GUCUGCCUCUCAGAAUCUGUGUCUCUUGCCCCCCUCCCGUCCUUAGGAGUGUGUCGCUGGUCAGGAAUGUGGAAGCAGCUGGCAACGCACAGGGUGUCGCCCAGACGAGGAGGCGCGGGACCUGCUGGCCCAAGUGCUCCGCCAGGCCAGGAGCAAGCCCUGUGGGUUUGCCCAGGUCUACCUGGCAGGGCGGGGGCGUGGGCUUUCUCCUGCUCAGGUGGCACUUCCGCAGGUGUGCCGUGUCCCCGUGACACAGAUAAGGGGCCUGGCUCACUGGCUUCAGGUCUCACAGCAACAGAAUAGGCAGAGUUGGAGUCUGAACCCAGUUCUGGCGCCCUUGAGCCUGUGCGCAGCACAGCGUCUGGCCUUGCAGGUCACAGGAGGCCAAAGGGUUCAGGAUCAUCCACCUGACAGAUGGGGAGCCCCAGACCCAGAGCCUGGGGGUGUUUGGCUAUUGACAAGCCUCUGUGCCCUGGCUGCAUCUCUCUGGCCACUUGCAGCCUUGAACUUCUCUUGACUCACCUCCUGUCUCCAAGGACUGGCACCCACAGGCCUGAGGCUCACCUGCUGCACCUGCGCUCUGGGGAGAGCUGCUGAAGCCCACUCGCACAGGCCGCGGGAUGUGGACAGGCUGGCCUUCUUCCGCAAUGCCACUGGGGCCGAGGGCCCGGCAGCAGAGUGGUAGGUGGUCCAGGAGUGGCGGCCAGACUGUGACCAAAGCCGGGGCUGUGGCCGAAACCUGGAGCUGGUCAUCUUUAACGACAAAGUCAGCCCCCAGAGCCUGGGCUUCCUGGCCGGAUACAGGUAUGACCAGCUGCCCCACGUGGACCACGUGCUCGGGCUCUGCACCCACGUCUUCCUGGCCCACCACGAGCUGGGCGAGCUGCAGCUGGAGCAGGACCUGUUCGCCACACUCAUCUUCCUGUGCCGCUCGCCAGACCCCAUGGUCAGGUGGACCCACCCGUGCCCGCCCGGCCCCCGCCGGCCACCCGCCGGCCACCCGCCGACCAUGCUGCCGGGGCUCCAGCAGGGCCACGGGAAGCAGCUGUCUCGUCCUAAAGCCUCUGGCCUCGAAGCAAGGUGUCCUCUCACCCCCGGGCCCCCGGUGCCAGGCCGUCAGCCUGCAGCUGCUCCCCAGCUGGGCCCCUGGGCCUGAGGCUGCCUUUGUGCCCGGACAAGGGAGACUCAGUUCAUCUCCUGCUCCUUGACCCUGCGUCCUGCAGCCCCUGGCGGGGGAGGUGGACAGUGCCAGCUGCUGGGAGAAGGAGCUGGACCAACUCGGUGGCCUCUGGCUCCUCCGGGGCUUCUCAGGGGGAAGCUGGAGUGAGCUGCCUGUUGCAAGACCAUUAAGCAAGCUAAUGACCUGUGAAGGCUCCUGGCCCUCCGGCCCCAGCUCAGCGCGCGGGGGCCCACCGGCCGCCUUGUGACCACUGUUAUUGUAACUUAACAUGUUGGGCCACGGUUUUCCCAGACAGGCCGGGGCCUUGGAGCCGCUGCUUGCCUUUGGGGGGCCCAGCCGGGGCUGUGCACGCAGCAGACAGUUAAUAAAUAUAUGCUUGGGAUCA